AGAAAUGAAAGAGUGGCCGUCUCCUGACAGCCCAGUCUCAGGCAGCUCCUGCUGCCUUGGCCUGUAUCUGUAAACACCCGACUUUUCUGCCUUGGUGUUUCAAGCUGAGCUAGGGCUGGGUGUGCUUCAGUGCCAGGUGCCUUGAACUGUGGUCACACUUUUGUCACCAGCACUCCGCCUUCCUUUCAACCGUCUCACAGGAUCACCCGCUGCCAGUCUGCUCCCUGCAUUGUUUUGACUUCUGUGUGGAGGCUUGUUGCUUUGAUGGGACCUUCCUUCACUUCUGUUCACUUUCAAGUCCCAGGGAGUCCAAGGCACUGCCAAUACAAUUACUGCUCUUGUGGAGAUGAGGACUGGAGGGAUGAGGAACUUUCCAAAGCUCAAUGUGAAGUCUGUGAGUCUCCUGGGCUGGCUGCUGUGGUAUUCUCGUCUUCGUGGAGACCUUGAAUCGCUGCCCUCACCUCUGCAAUUCGUUGGCCACUUUAUAGACAAGUACACACUGGUUUUUAUUGUUCCUGCUGAUCCAGGUGGCAAUGAGUUUAUGAUUCCUGUGUUACACAGUCCUGUGAUCUGGCUGGGGAAUUGCUUGCUAAAGGUCACUACAAGGGGGCGUUGCUGGGUGUGGUCGUCUACCACUCCCAGUGCCUUUAGAGGCUGGGUGGGAAAGCUGCUUAGAUAAAUUCAAUUCCACACAAUUCAACAAAUGUUAACUUGAGCUUCUUCUGCACUGUAAGAGCUAGGAAUCUGAAACAGAAGCAGGCUGUUUCCUGUUCAAGUCCGCCUGGUGCAGGACAGUAACAACUAUGAGGCAACUGGAGUUCAAGAAGCAAACCACCACCAGCUGGAUUCCCCAACAAACAGACGAAGAUUUGAAAGGUACUAUGUGGAGCUACAUUAAUAAUAAAGGAACUGAAAAAAAAGAGCUAAGAUAUAAAGACAUGAUUUUUAAGAUGGAUAGAGAAGAGUCUGGGAAGAUUUCUUUGAAUCUUUGAAGAAAAUGAGUGACU